rnacentral:rRNA from 1 species
AACAUUAUGUUGUACCAUUUAUUCGCUAAUGGUUAAGUUAGAAAGGGCGCACGGUGAAUGCCUUGGCACUAGGAGCCGAUGAAGGACGGGACUAACACCGAUAUGCUUCGGGGAGCUGUAAGUGAGCUUUGAUCCGGAGAUUUCCGAAUGGGGAAACCCACUGUUCGUAAUGGAACAGUAUCUUUAUCUGAAUACAUAGGAUAUUGAAGGCAGACCCGGGGAACUGAAACAUCUAAGUACCCGGAGGAAGAGAAAGCAAAUGCGAUUUCCUGAGUAGCGGCGAGCGAAACGGAAUUAGCCCAAACCAAGAGGCUUGCCUCUUGGGGUUGUAGGACACUCUAUACGGAGUUACAAAGGAACGAAGUAAAUGAAGCGACCUGGAAAGGUCCGUCGAAGAAGGUAACAACCCUGUAGUUGAAACUUCGUUCCCUCUUGAGUGGAUCCUGAGUACGGCGGAACACGUGAAAUUCCGUCGGAAGCUGGGAGGACCAUCUCCCAAGGCUAAAUACUACCUAGUGACCGAUAGUGAACCAGUACCGUGAGGGAAAGGUGAAAAGCACCCCGGAAGGGGAGUGAAAGAGAUCCUGAAACCGUGUGCCUACAAGUAGUCAGAGCCCGUUAACGGGUGAUGGCGUGCCUUUUGUAGAAUGAACCGGCGAGUUACGAUCCCAUGCAAGGUUAAGCUGAUAAGGCGGAGCCGUAGCGAAAGCGAGUCUGAAUAGGGCGUUUAGUAUGUGGUUGUAGACCCGAAACCAGGUGAUCUACCCAUGUCCAGGGUGAAGUUCAGGUAACACUGAAUGGAGGCCCGAACCCACGCACGUUGAAAAGUGCGGGGAUGAGGUGUGGGUAGCGGAGAAAUUCCAAUCGAACCUGGAGAUAGCUGGUUCUCUCCGAAAUAGCUUUAGGGCUAGCCUCAUGUUGUGAGAGUCUUGGAGGUAGAGCACUGAUUGGACUAGGGGCCCCCAACGGGUUACCGAAUUCAGUCAAACUCCGAAUGCCAAAGACUUAUCCAUGGGAGUCAGACUGCGAGUGAUAAGAUCCGUAGUCAAAAGGGAAACAGCCCAGACCACCAGCUAAGGUCCCCAAGUAUACGUUAAGUGGAAAAGGAUGUGGAGUUGCUUAGACAACCAGGAUGUUGGCUUAGAAGCAGCCACCAUUUAAAGAGUGCGUAAUAGCUCACUGGUCGAGUGACUCUGCGCCGAAAAUGUACCGGGGCUAAACGUAUCACCGAAGCUGUGGAUUGACAUCUUAGAUGUCAGUGGUAGGAGAGCGUUCUAAGUGCAGCGAAGUCAGACCGUAAGGACUGGUGGAGCGCUUAGAAGUGAGAAUGCCGGUAUGAGUAGCGAAAGACAAGUGAGAAUCUUGUCCACCGAAUGCCUAAGGUUUCCUGAGGAAGGCUCGUCCGCUCAGGGUUAGUCGGGACCUAAGCCGAGGCUGAAAAGCGUAGGCGAUGGCCAACAGGUUGAUAUUCCUGUACCACCUCCCCGCCGUUUGAGUAAUGGGGGGACGCAGUAGGAUAGGGUAAGCGCGCUGCUGGAUAUGCGCGUUCAAGCAGUUAGGCUGAUGAGUAGGCAAAUCCGCUCAUCAUAAAGGCUGAGCUGUGAUGACGAGGGAAUUAUAGUACCGAAGUUCCUGAUUCCACACUGCCAAGAAAAGCCUCUAGCGAGGCGGGAGGUGCCCGUACCGCAAACCGACACAGGUAGGCGAGGAGAGAAUCCUAAGGUGAUCGAGAGAACUCUCGUUAAGGAACUCGGCAAAAUGACCCCGUAACUUCGGGAGAAGGGGUGCUCUGGUAGGGUGUAUAGCCCGAGAGAGCCGCAGUGAAUAGGCCCAGGCGACUGUUUAGCAAAAACACAGGUCUCUGCGAAGCCGCAAGGCGAAGUAUAGGGGCUGACGCCUGCCCGGUGCUGGAAGGUUAAGAGGAGGGGUUAUCCUUUGGGAGAAGCUCUGAAUCGAAGCCCCAGUAAACGGCGGCCGUAACUAUAACGGUCCUAAGGUAGCGAAAUUCCUUGUCGGGUAAGUUCCGACCCGCACGAAAGGCGUAACGAUCUGGGCACUGUCUCAACGAGAGACUCGGUGAAAUUAUAGUACCUGUGAAGAUGCAGGUUACCCGCGACAGGACGGAAAGACCCCGUGGAGCUUUACUGUAGCCUGAUAUUGAAUUUUGGUACAGCUUGUACAGGAUAGGUAGGAGCCUGAGAAGCCGGAGCGCUAGCUUCGGUGGAGGCGUCGGUGGGAUACUACCCUGGCUGUAUUGAAAUUCUAACCCGCGGCCCUGAUCGGGCCGGGAGACAGUGUCAGGUGGGCAGUUUGACUGGGGCGGUCGCCUCCUAAAAUGUAACGGAGGCGCCCAAAGGUUCCCUCAGAAUGGUUGGAAAUCAUUCGUAGAGUGUAAAGGCACAAGGGAGCUUGACUGCGAGACCUACAAGUCGAGCAGGGACGAAAGUCGGGCUUAGUGAUCCGGUGGUUCCGCAUGGAAGGGCCAUCGCUCAACGGAUAAAAGCUACCCCGGGGAUAACAGGCUUAUCUCCCCCAAGAGUCCACAUCGACGGGGAGGUUUGGCACCUCGAUGUCGGCUCAUCGCAUCCUGGGGCUGUAGUCGGUCCCAAGGGUUGGGCUGUUCGCCCAUUAAAGCGGUACGCGAGCUGGGUUCAGAACGUCGUGAGACAGUUCGGUCCCUAUCCGUCGUGGGCGUAGGAAAUUUGAGAGGAGCUGUCCUUAGUACGAGAGGACCGGGAUGGACACACCGCUGGUGUACCAGUUGUCUUGCCAAAGGCAUCGCUGGGUAGCUAUGUGUGGACGGGAUAAGUGCUGAAAGCAUCUAAGCAUGAAGCCCCCCUCAAGAUGAGAUUUCCCAUAGCGCAAGCUAGUAAGAUCCCUGAAAGAUGAUCAGGUUGAUAGGUCAGAGGUGGAAGCGUGGCGACAUGUGUAGCUGACUGAUACUAAUCGAUCGAGGACUUAACCAA